GAUGAACGCUGGCGGCGUGCUUAACACAUGCAAGUCGAACGGUGAUGCCCAGCUUGCUGGGUGUACUAGAGGCGAACGCGGGAGUAACACGCGAGUAACCCGUGCUUGACACUGGGAUAAGCCUUGAGAACUGGGUCUAAUAUCGCAUACGGCCACUCCGCCUACGUCAUGGUGGUGGGAAGGUUUUGUGGUUUUGGAUGGACUCGCGGCUUAUCAGCUUGUUGGUGGGGUAAUGGCCUACCAAGGCGAUGACGGGUAGCCGGCCUGAGAGGGUGACCGGCCACACUGGGACUGAGAUACGGCCCAGACUCCUACGGGAGGCAGCAGUGGGGAAUAUUGCACAAUGGGCGGAAGCCUGAUGCAGCAACGCCGCGUGAGGGAUGACGGCCUUCGGGUUGUAAACCGCUUUCAGUAGGGAAGAAGCGAGAGUGACGGUAACUGCAGAAGAAGCACCGGCUAACUACGUG
rnacentral:rRNA from 1 species